AGUGGGAGUGGGCAUGGGCAUGGAAGGGGGAGAAGGGGGAAGAGGAUCUACUGCUGUAGAGCCUGUGUCGUGACUCGUGAGGUCAGGUGCUAGGUGAUUUGUAGCAUAUCAUUAUUUCUUUGACACUCUUCCUCUUCUUCGUCUGUAGUAUUCUAUUGUGUGUGCUUUUGUUUCUCUUUUUCUUGAUUGUUCAUUUUUCUUUCUCCCUCUUAUCUUCGGCUUCUGUUCCUUACUCUUUGUCUUGUGAGGUUUUUUGUGUUUAUUUUGCCUUUGAGAUUGGAUCAAGCAGUGGUUGUUGUUACCUGAUUGGUUGUAUAGGUGUUUUAAAUCUGACUGGCUAAGGCGUCUGAUUUUCUUCCAACCUAUCUAGAUCCUUGGCUGUGGGAAACAGCGAUCAGGAGGACUUUUCAUCUGAUACAGCUAGCGGGGCAUCACCCUGUGGCCCGGGACCAGGGGCGUUAUCGGAGGAGUUCCUAGUGCUUAGCGCUGUCACACUGUCCAUAGCCUGAUUCCCGAUAAUUGUCUGAUAGAAUUUUUGUUUGCCAUGUCGUCUGCCUCAUGUGACCUCGCUCCAAACAGCCUCGGCACUCGGUGAUUUCCUGGGGAUCGCGACAAGGACGAACGGCCCAUGGGCCAUGUGGAUGGCGAAUUUGUGUCGACGG
rnacentral:sRNA from 1 species